UGGAAAUGCUAAGUGCCAGCUGCUGGCACCAAGCUGAAUUUGGAAUCCAGGUGGUGUGUCCAAGUGGUGCUGGUGCCCUGCUGUGGUUUGAUUCGACGCAGAAAUCCAAACACCUCUCUGUGAAGUGUUUCCAGAGUUUAUCCCCUGCUGAAAGUCUCCUCAAGUUACAGCAACCUAACUGCUGGAAGAUACUCAUGGAUAAAGGAGAGUAUUUUGAGGAUGCUCAGGUUUUCUCCACAAGAUCCAUCUGUCUCAAAUUACUACUGGACUUCUUCUGGCUUUGACAGCCUCUAAUUUCAUCCAGUCAUGUAUGGCAACACACACUAUAUUGUUUUAGAUUUGUCAGAUUUGAUGGUGCCUUGUUGAUGUUUUGCUCUCAAAUCAUGGUGUCAUUCUCUUU
rnacentral:lncRNA from 1 species